CCCUCUAAGCUCUUCUCAGAUUCCUGACCCUCAGAAACUGUGAGAACGUAAGUGUUUGUUGUUUUAACUUGCCAUGUUUGGGGUUAAUUUGUUACACAGCAAUAGAUAACUAGUACCUCCCUAAGAAAUAAGUUGCACAGUGUCUGGGAUUGACUAGAAGGCUAAUAAAUGUUUGUGGAGAGUAUGAAUUAAAAUGAAUAAAUGAAAAGUUUAAUUUAUAUCCUUCCACAUCUUUCCUUACCUUAUAGCCUCUUUUGAAAUAGCUUCAUGAAAGAGUGUUUCUGAGGGAGGAUCUCUUUAAUUAUUAAAAGUUCAGUCAUUCUGCAAAUAUUUAUUGCUGCUGGUAUUUGAAUGACUCUUUAACUAUGAAAUACUUGUGAGCCCAUUUGGACAUCUGCCAGGCUUUUAUGAGGAAAUAUUUAUUGAAGCUCUCUCUGCAAGUCUCUUUGCUUUUCUAUAAGUUAAAACCCAGAUUUUGGGUCAGGUAGGUAGACACAACUAACCCGGAUGAAUAAAGGGUUAGUGGAAGGACAGAAGUUAUCUCUACCCUGACAUACUCAAGGUAUUCAUGGGUGAGAAUGAGACCAAUCACUAAACUGAGGGAUAUGAAUAAUGCAAGGCACUUAACAGUUACUGAGAGCAACUUGCAGAGGGAUAUGGUUCACUUAUAUUCUCUGUGGUGUGAUAUAUGACUGCAGCUGGCCUUUGGGUCAGAUAAUCUGGCUCAGAAUCCCACUUCUUUUAUUUACAAACUAUGAAAACUUGAAGAAGUCACUUCAUCCUUUGGAACCUCAUUUUCUUCAUCUAUCAACCAAGCAAACACGGAGUAUGCUAUAGGAUUUCUUAAAAGACAAGGUAUGAAAAGGUUUAGCUUACCACCUGGCAUGCAGUAGGUACUUCAAAAAUUGUUAGCUACUUUUUAUGAUAAGUUUUUAGACCACUUUUUAUGAUAAGUUGUUAGACCACUUUCCUGCUCCUGGGCACCUCCCUGUCUUUAUCCAUUAGCAGUAUGGUGGUAUUGUCUGAAAAUCUACAGACAAGAAGUAUGACUAAAGCAUAUUUGGGUUUCUCUGCUACCCCAGGAGGAGGCUGGCAAGAUGGGAUAUGUUAACUGUCUAUAGGACUGGACUCUAGAGAAGAUGCUGAACAUUCAAGCUACUGUCCCCUCAGCUGUACAUGGCCUUCCCUCCAGUUUUGGUUCUGCCUUUUGACUGGUCUCCUUAGUGCAUUUGGAGGCUCCUCUUGCACCAUUCAAAGUGACCUUGAUGGACAUGUGAACAUGGGCAAACACUUUUUAAUUAUCCUGAUCAAGUGCGGGGGACAUUUUUUUGCUGACCCCUCUUGUAAUCAACUGUGAUCUCCUAGAAGCAGGCGAAUUGAUUGCUUCUAUCCUUCCCAGCUAGCCAGAAGAGUGGGUCAUACAUUAUCCUGCCCCUUUGAAAAAUCCAGCUUGUGAUUGAUUUCAUGACUGUCUGUGGCAGCAAAUUCCUCAGAAUGAAUUCUACCAGCCCAGAUUUAGUAAUUCUAACUUUCGAAAUCCCCUGUCGUGAGUGAAUCUUCAUUGCCCUCAAUUUCUUGCCCUGCUUUGGAGCUCUGCCAUCCCUGUACUACCUUCCUUCAGGCAAAGAAGCUCGCUGGUGUAGAGAGAUCUCUCUAAAAGUGCUCCUCAUACAACUCAGAGAGACCAUAGAAGACACUGUUUCAGACAGAAAAAUAUCCAUAACUGGUUAGUCGAUUCAAAAUAAGAACGAUGGCAACAAUAAUGCAAUAAAAACCUAGACACAGCACUCACUGCGCAUCAGAGACCAUGCCACGUCCUGUGAUUUUCUGUGAUCCUUACAGCAGCUGGAGGGGAAGUAGGAUACUGGUCCCAUUUCCAUUUCACAGUCAAAAAAGGACCGAUGGGCUGAACAGUUUUAAAACCUGGCUGUGGCCAUUCAUUUGGACGACUCCAGCAGACCCAUGUGUCCUACAGUUCAACUUUUCAAACCUACUCUGUUUGUAAUUCCUCAGCAGGAUUCUGAGCUCUGCUGGGCAUAUUUCAGUUUUACAGUUAAUCAGAAAGAUUUUGCUCCAAAUUUGCCCUUAGUGUGGACCUUUAUUAACGCGAUAUGCCUCACAUUAGUGAGUGCCUGCUUUUGAGCCAUAUGCCCUGAAUAAGUUAUCAGGUUUCACUGUUUACCCUUGGUUUAAAAAAAAAAAAUUCCAUACACUCUGACCUCAUGACACCUAAACCCUGUCCGUGCAGUUGAAACAGGAAAACUAGUCAUCUGAUAUCAUGAAGGCAAAUCAGCUGGUAGAUGUGCUCAAAUGUUUCCGUUUCCACCAGUGUGUGGGCAUUGUGGGGAGCCAUAGAUUAUUAAUCAGGAAUGUGCAGGAGAGGAUUUCUUGUUUGUGUGUUUGUUAAUUUCCAAAAUAA